CGCGGUCUUUCCGAAUGGUUCGAGAUGCGCGUCCCUCCAAUCGGAGGUUAAUCACUGAAGCCCUAUCCAGUGUUAACUGGUCUCCAAUGUAUCAUCUGAGCUCUUGUGACGAACAGUUCCAAUAUUUCUCUUCCAUUGUUGAUGGUAUUGUUGAUAAAUAUCUCCCUCUGAAACGUAUUAAAUCUGACAGCAGCGAUAAGCCCUGGAUUACUCCAGAGAUAAAAAGAUUAAUAUCGAAACGCCAAGUAACAUGGCGGAAAGGAAACAAGCCUAUGUUUCGAUUCUAUAGGAACAAAAUUAAUAUCUUGUGUAGGCAUGCUCGCUCAAAGUAUUAUACCAACAAUGUCGCUAAUACCACUCAGUCGAAUCCACGGAAGUGGUGGUCCGCUGUCAAAAAUAUUGCUGGCCUUGCCCCAUCUAAAAACGUUUCCACACUUGUGUACAACGGACAGCCCUAUUCCGAUUCGGCUCUGGCCAACCUGUUCAACGACAAGUUUGUUGCUGUUGGGAAUUCCCUGCCUCCGCUUGCUUGGACGCCCCUCGAAGUCGGUGAUUCUCCUCCCGACUUUUACAUUUCAGUCGACGACACCGAGAAAGCAUUACAAUCCGUCAAGUCCUUUUCAGCUGCAGGUCCUGACGAAAUCACGCCUUGGUUCCUCCGUGAUAAUUCCUCGUUAUUGUGUCGCCCAUUAGCAUCCAUAUUUAAUGCCUCUAUUCAUGAUGGUUGCGUUCCAUCCCUGUGGAAAUCUGCAAAUGUCAUUCCUGCAGCAAAGUCUUCUCCUGCUCUGGAUGUUGACUCUGAUUUUCGACCGAUAUCGCUCACGCCCAUAGUGAGUAAGAUUCUGGAAUCAUUUCCAUAUAACUGGCUCUUGCAGUCAAUCCGCGACCAAAUCGAUAAGCUCCAAUUUGGCUCAAUUAAAGGAUCUAACACCACCAUGGCGCUAAUACACCUGCUUCAUAAAUGGUACGAAGCGAUGGACACACCUGGAGCCUGCCUACGGAUAUGCAUGCUAGACUUUUCCAAAGCUUUUGACCGUAUCGAUUUCAACAUUCUGAUGCAGAAACUCAUUAACAUGGGCGUACACCCUAUCCUAAUUAAUUGGAUUGCCAAUUUCCUUACCGACAGAAGUCAGAGAACAAGAAUUGGCUCUAAUUUUUCGAGUUGGAGAACUACCAACGGAGGAGUCCCCCAAGGAACCAAAUUGGGCCCCCUCCUCUUCCUCAUCAUGGUGAACGACUUGAAUGUUUCUGACGAUACAGUGAAAUUUGUUGACGACACCACUAUCUGGGAGAUCGUCUUGAAGGGUCAAGAAUCCAACUCGGUCCUACCGUCUCAAAUUACAGAAUCUACCAAAUGGGCGUCUGAGAAUAACAUGAAACUGAACCCUAUAAAAACAAAAGAAGUUCGUGUUGGGUUUUCUCCUCUUGAUCCCGGGGCUCUUCCGCCGAUCACCAUUGACGGUCACGACAUAGUUGUGGUUCCGCAUGCUAAAUUACUUGGUGUCAUGAUAUCUAAAGAUCUGAAAUGGAUCGAGCACGUUGAUUAUAUCUGCAAGAAAGCUUCGAAGCGAUUGUAUGCCUUACGAUUACUUAAGAGAGCCUCUAUACCAGCGAGCAAGUUAGUCCGGGUUUUUACUACCUGCGUUCGACCAAUCUUAGAAUUUUCGUGCGAGGUAUGGCACUAUAGCUUGGCGCAAUAUUUGAGCGACGAGAUCGAGAGUAUUCAACGGAGAGCCCUUCGUAUAAUCUUUCCUGAUCUCAAAUAUGAAGAUGCGUUGGUACGUGCUGGGGUGGUGUCACUGUUCCUGCGGAGAAAGACCAUUUGCGAGAAACUUUUUGCUCAAAUGUGUGAUGAAUCAUCCCAUAAACUCCAUUCUCUCGUUCCCCCAAGACAUAAAACAGGAUAUUCUCUACGUAAUGAUAAUUGUCUUUCAAUACCAAAGCAUAGGACAAGUAGGUUUGCUAACAGUUUUAUUAUGGCCGGUAGUAAGGCCUACAACUCCAGUUUUAAAUAAUAAUAUUUAAGCUAUAUUCUUACCUAGAACUAUUACAAUUAACAGCUUGUAAAUAAUGAGUGUUUGUAGACAUUUUACUCGUAUGCAUGUAAACCAGUGUAAUUCAGUUCUUAACUGCAAAAUUGGUAUCUUUUAAUAAAUUGAUAAAUUGAU
rnacentral:lncRNA from 1 species